UACGUAGGGUGCAAGCGUUGUCCGGAAUUAUUGGGCGUAAAGAGCUCGUAGGCGGUUUGUUGCGUCGGCUGUGAAAUCCCGAGGCUCAACCUCGGGUCUGCAGUCGAUACGAGCAAACUAGAGUGUUGCAGGGGAGACUGGAAUUCCUGGUGUAGCGGUGAAAUGCGCAGAUAUCAGGAGGAACACCGGUGGCGAAGGCGGGGUCUCUGGGCAACAACUGACGC
rnacentral:rRNA from 1 species